rnacentral:RNase_P_RNA from 1 species
GUGGACAGUCGAGGGACUACUGUAUGACUUGUUGUGCAGAGGAAAGUCCGGACACCGCAAGGGAAAGAUAGUGGGUAAUGCCCACCCGAAGAAAUUCGAGGAUAAGAGCCACAGAGACGAGCCCAUUUAGUUGGGAGUGAAACGCGGCAAUCUCUAUCUGGUGCAAGACUAAAUAUGGGGGUGUUGAUUACUCUUGGGAGCCCUCGGGUAAGUUGCAAUGAAAUAUGCAGUAAUGUAUAUUCAAGAUGAAUGGUCCCUGAUUACAGAAUCCGGCUUAUAGAUUGUCCACUUUU